CACGGGGGUGGCAAGCGUUGUCCGGAAUUACUAGGCGUAAAGGGCAGGUAGGCGGAUAUUCAAGUCAGGCGUUAAAGGCAUCAGCUCAACUGGUGUACGGCGUUUGAAACUGGAUAUCUAGAGUCAGGUAGAGGUAGAUGGAAUUCCUAGUGUAGCGGUGGAAUGCGCAGAGAUUAGGAAGAACACCAAAGGCGAAGGCA
rnacentral:rRNA from 1 species